UAAUAAUAAUAAUAAUAAUAAUAAUAUAAGAUGUAACAUAUUCAUCAAGCUGACCCAACAAAUCAGGAACAUGACUUAUUAUUAUUUUAUUUUAUUUUUUUUUUUUAUGCAUAUCUUUUUUUGUUUUUCCUUUUUCUUUUUUAAUAGGCCAUAUACUCAAUGCACAAAACAAAUUAUUAUGAUACAUUAAAUUAUACUUCAUUAAACAAAAUACGAUUUUACACAAAAAGAUCUUUUAAUUAUAAUUAUCCCAAAAACACUCAAAUGCGUUUUCAAAUUGAGUACGAAGUAGAAUACAAAUACUAUGAACAUGAGUGUCAUGUUCUGACUAAGAAAUUAAAAAAUGAUUACUACAAGGGAAAUCGUGAUUAUAGUAAGUUACUUUUUUUUUUUUUUUUUUUUUUUUUUUUAAAAUAUAUACAUUUUAGACAUAUAACACAUGCUCACAUGUACAUGUUAUACGUUAAUCUCUUAUUUUGUGCCUCUAUUUUUAAUUGAUGCGUUUUGCUAGUGUAUAUAUAUAUAUACAUAUACAUAUAUGUGCAAUUUUUUUUUUUUUUUCUUAGAACAAAAAUUAAAUUAUGAAGAAAUUCCAGAAAGUUGCAUAAAACUGAAAAAUUUAGAGGUAAAAUUUUGCAUCUCAAAAUGUUGACCAGUUGUUAAUUUAUUUUAUUUUAUGAUAUUUAUAAAGUGCAGUAUAUUUGUUUAAAUUCUUAUGUGUUUUUGCAUAAUACUUAUAUAUAUAUAUAUAUAUCGAUAUACCUCCAUAUACAUCGAUAUAUAUAUCAAUAUGUGCAAUUUGUUUAAUAUACUUCCAUGUUUAUACAUAUUAAUAUAAAUACCUAUUUUUACACGUCUCAGGAUCAAUACAACGACUACAUUUUGAAAAUGAAAAGGAGAUGACAAAAAAAAAAAAAAAAAAAAAAAUCCAUUAAUUUGAUAAAUUAAUUUUUAAAAAUUAAAAUAAGCUGUUAAAAAAAAUAUACACAUAUAUAUCCAUAUAUAUAUAUGUAUGUACUAUUUUUUUUUUUUUUUUUUUUUUUUGUUGUUGUUUUUUUGGAUUUUAAUGUUUGGGUAUUUUAUUUUGCCCAUAUUAUCAAUCAAAUAUUUGUUAAUAAGUUUUUAAAUGCACAAAAUUUCAUCUAAUUUAACUAUUAUAUGAAUACACGUUUAUGUUUUAGUUGUUACAAAAAUAUACACGUCUCUCAAGCACUUAUUAAUAUAUACAUAUAUAUAUAUAUAUACACAUGCACUUCAUUUUUCAUUCAAAACGUUUAUUUAUGUUUUUAUGUUUCCUUUUUCUUUUUUCGUUUAUUUAUUUGCAAUUAUAACAUCAAUUAUUUUUUAAAUUAGAAAUUAUAUAUGAGUAUGAUUAAAAAAUAGAAAUACAACACUACUACAUAUAUUUAUAUAUAUGUAUGUAUAUGUACAUAUGUAUAAAAAGUCUUUUUUAGGGUUAAAUAUUAGUUCCCUAUUUUUAGUAUUCAAAAUUUAUUCGCCCUCUAUGUGCUCCAUCUUGUUAUUUUAUUUUGCAACUACAUACAAACACAUAUAUAUAUAUAUAUAUAUAUAUGUAUAUUAUGUAGUUUUUUGCCAUUUGUUAUAUACUAAAUAGCAAGUAACACAUUUUUUAAAUUGUUAAUGUUGCAUAGUUUUUUUUUUUUUUUUUUUUUUUUUUACAUUUUAAACCCAUGGUUAUAUAUAUAUAUAUAUAUAUAUCCAUGUGUGAAUAUGUAUGUAUAUAUUGUAAACAAUCAUAUGUGAUCAAAUAAUAUUUGAUGCUAAUUUUUUUUUUCUUAUUUUUAAUAUUAAUAAUAUUAAAAUUAACAUAAUUCGUUAUCAUUAUUUUUUAAGUAGUAAUACUCUAAAUUUGAUUUUUAAAAAAAAUUUAUUAAUUUGAAUUUAUAAGUAUCUGUUAAAAAUUAUACCUGACAUGCAUAUAUAUAUAUAUAUAUAUAUAUAUAUGGCAUAGCAUAGCAUGUAUACAUGUGUCUAUUUUAUUGUGGUGCACUAUCGGAGGUGUGAGAUGAAUACUCAUUAUUACUAUUAAUGUACAUUUUAUCUGUUUCAUAUAAAUCUUUUUUUUUCUUUUUGUAUUAUAUCCUUUAUAUAAGUAUAGCCAAAUUCUUCAGUAUUACUAGAUGAUAAUAAAGCAGUAAAUCUGUUUUUGUUUUUUUUUUUC
rnacentral:lncRNA from 1 species